rnacentral:misc_RNA from 1 species
AAGUCGUAACAAGGUUUCCGUAGGUGAACCUGCGGAAGGAUCAUUCACACAUCGCCCAGCAGUUGACGUGUGUGUAUUAAUUGCAUGCAUCGCUGCUUGGGUUUGAUAUACAUCUAUCCAACUUAACAUUAACUGAGCCGCGUCCCGUGACUACUCAAGGCAUAUAGGGCUUUCGUGCUCUUGUGUUUGGGUCGUUCACACAAUCAAUUUUUUUACUCACCGUUUUCGUGGACAGCUUUUGGCAAUCGUUAUCAGUGGAUCAACUCCCAUGAUUUGACUGCCCGGUCCGCUUACAUCAAUGUGUUUUGUUUAGGUUCAUGUAUGUUACAGCGCAAUGUACAUAUGUGAUAUACGAAAAAAAUCUGCUGUGUGGUUUAGACACAAAGCAAAUGAAAACAACUCUUUACAAUGGAUAUCUUGGUUCUC